ensembl:lncRNA
AAGUGCUUUGUUUGUUGUUUUGGUUGCCGUUUUUUUUGGUUUUUCUGUGUGUGUGUGGGGGGGGGGGGGGGGGAAUAAUGUCAUGUUUCCGAAAGAAGUGUAGUAUUUUGGAGAGAAAAUGUUUUGUUUUCGUUUGAAAGGUGGUAUUUUGUGGGAGAUGAUGCUUAACUGUGGGGCGAAAAGUAGGAUCUGGGGGAGAAAAUCCACUUCUGGGGGGAAAGAAUAGGACAUUUUCUCCCCCAAGUACCCCUUGUCUCACCGAAACAAGACUCUUUCUCCACUAAAUACCACUGCUCUCCACAAAACAUGACUUCUCGCCUGCCAAAUACAAAGCUGUUUGCUUUCCAAAAAGACGACGUUUCCUUCGCGCGCUCCCUUUUUUCUCCACAACAUGCAAAUUCUCUCUCCAAAACAGGACAGUUUCUCCCCCAAACGCUACUUUUCUCCAGAACAUAGGGCCCUUCCUUCGCGCAUCAUGCCACAUUUCUCCUGAAAAUAUACAGCUCUUCCUUGCAAAAUACCACUUUUCUCCCAAAGACAUGACCAUUUUUCUUCCCACACCAUACCACUCUUCUCCAAAACUACGAUCUCUCCUCUCAAAAACGCCACUUUUCUCCCAAAAAUACGACCGUUUCUUCCCCUCGGG